CUGAGACUUAGCAGAGAUGCUUUGGUGCCUUCGGGAACUCUGAGACAGGUGCUGCAUGGCUGUCGUCAGCUCGUGUUGUGAAAUGUUGGGUUAAGUCCCGCAACGAGCGCAACCCUUAUCCUUUGUUGCCAGCGGUUCGGCCGGGAACUCAAAGGAGACUGCCAGUGAUAAACUGGAGGAAGGUGGGGAUGACGUCAAGUCAUCAUGGCCCUUACGAGUAGGGCUACACACGUGCUACAAUGGCAUAUACAAAGAGAAGCGACCUCGCGAGAGCAAGCGGACCUCAUAAAGUAUGUCGUAGUCCGGAUUGGAGUCUGCAACUCGACUCCAUGAAGUCGGAAUCGCUAGUAAUCGUGGAUCAGAAUGCCACGGUGAAUACGUUCCCGGGUCUUGUACCCCCACCGAA
rnacentral:rRNA from 1 species